AUUGAACGCUGGCGGAAUGCUUUACACAUGCAAGUCGAACGGCAGCAUAGGUGCUUGCACCUGAUGGCGAGUGGCGAACGGGUGAGUAAUACAUCGGAACGUGCCCAGUCGUGGGGGAUAACGUAGCGAAAGUUACGCUAAUACCGCAUACGAUCUACGGAUGAAAGCGGGGGACCGUAAGGCCUCGCGCGAUUGGAGCGGCCGAUGUUAGAUUAGGUAGUUGGUGGGGUAAAGGCUCACCAAGCCGACGAUCUAUAGCUGGUCUGAGAGGAUGAUCAGCCACACUGGGACUGAGACACGGCCCAGACUCCUACGGGAGGCAGCAGUGGGGAAUUUUGGACAAUGGGCGCAAGCCUGAUCCAGCCAUUCCGCGUGCAGGAUGAAGGCCCUCGGGUUGUAAACUGCUUUUGUACGGAACGAAAAGGCUCUGGUUAAUACCUGGGGCUCAUGACGGUACCGUAAGAAUAAGCACCGGCUAACUACGUG
rnacentral:rRNA from 1 species